GAUGAACGCUAGCGGCAGGCUUAACACAUGCAAGUCGAGGGGUAUUGGUUUUCGGACCAAGAGACCGGCGCACGGGUGCGUAACGCGUAUGCAAUCUACCUUUUGCAGAGGGAUAGCCCCAGAGAAAUUUGGAUUAAUACCUCAUAGUAUAGUACUUUGGCAUCAAGGAACUAUUAAAGUCACAACGGCAAAAGAUGAGCAUGCGUCCAUUAGCUAGUUGGUAAGGUAACGGCUUACCAAGGCUACGAUGGGUAGGGGUCCUGAGAGGGAGAUCCCCCACACUGGUACUGAGACACGGACCAGACUCCUACGGGAGGCAGCAGUGAGGAAUAUUGGACAAUGGGCGCAAGCCUGAUCCAGCCAUGCCGCGUGCAGGAUGACGGUCCUAUGGAUUGUAAACUGCUUUUAUACAGGAAGAAACACUCCGACGUGUCGGAGCUUGACGGUACUGUAAGAAUAAGGAUCGG
rnacentral:rRNA from 1 species